rnacentral:rRNA from 1 species
UGUUUCGGCUAGGGGGCCAUCCCGGCUUACCAACCCGAUGCAAACUGCGAAUACCGGAGAAUGUUAUCACGGGAGACACACGGCGGGUGCUAACGUCCGUCGUGAAGAGGGAAACAACCCAGACCGCCAGCUAAGGUCCCAAAGUCAUGGUUAAGUGGGAAACGAUGUGGGAAGGCCCAGACAGCCAGGAUGUUGGCUUAGAAGCAGCCAUCAUUUAAAGAAAGCGUAAUAGCUCACUGGUCGAGUCGGCCUGCGCGGAAGAUGUAACGGGGCUAAACCAUGCACCGAAGCUGCGGCAGCGACACUGUGUGUUGUUGGGUAGGGGAGCGUUCUGUAAGCCUGUGAAGGUGGCCUGUGAGGGUUGCUGGAGGUAUCAGAAGUGCGAAUGCUGACAUAAGUAACGAUAAAGCGGGUGAAAAGCCCGCUCGCCGGAAGACCAAGGGUUCCUGUCCAACGUUAAUCGGGGCAGGGUGAGUCGACCCCUAAGGCGAGGCCGAAAGGCGUAGUCGAUGGGAAACGGGUUAAUAUUCCCGUACUUGGUGUUACUGCGAAGGGGGGACGGAGAAGGCUAUGUUGGCCGGGCGACGGUUGUCCCGGUUUAAGCGUGUAGGUGUGUGUUCCAGGUAAAUCCGGUUCACUUUAACACUGAGGC